GAGGCCCAGCGGCCCGAGACCAACUGGGCUGACCGAGGCCGCCUCCCCGCCAGCCCUGGGGUCCACUGCCCGGGGAGCAGCUCCCUUCCCAGGUCAGACUCGGGCUUCAUCCUCUCUUGCCGCGCGCCGAGCGGUUUUCAACUCUCACUGCUAGAAUUCCUCCAACCACCCAGGAUAGCAGGACCGAGAUACAUGGCCACCCAUGACCCGGAGCGUCCACUUCCAGGGACAGGCAGUGGUGAUUGGCUUCGGUUGUCAUCUGUGCCAUCUGUCCAUGGUUCGAGAAGCUGCUGUUCACGUUUUGGGGAGGAUCAUGGUUUGAGGGCUCCCGUGGUAGAAUUUGGGGAGCUCUCAUAGGCAGAAGGCUGAGAAAAGUUGGUGCUGUGGGAAGUCAACUGGCAGCCGAUGGAGUCGGGACCCGGGAGGAAUGGAAAGGGAACCCAGAUAGGAAGCUACUGCAGUAGGCUCAGAGAGGUGAUGACGGCAGGGCUAAGACAGCGGCCUUGGGCGGUGACUGGGAAGAACGUUGAACACCGUGUUUGGGCUGAAGAAAAGAGCAAGGGAAGAGGUGAGGAACUUCAGGUGAGGGUUGAUGUAGAUGUUACUUACACAGGUAACAGACAUUCUUCACCUUUUCAUUGUUUUACAAUGAUUCAUUCUCUCUCUCUCUAACAUAUAAUUGUGAUAUUUUCACCUGUAGUCCCAGCUGCUCUGGAGUUUGAGGCAGGAGGAUGGCUUGAACCCAAGAGGUGGAGGCUGAAGUGAGCCAAGAUCGCGCCACUGCACUCCAGCCUGGGCGACAGGGCAAAACCCUGUCUCUAAAAAGAACUUUUUAAAAAAGCACCUGUAGAUUUAAGCACAUAAUAACUACACUUUUGUCUGUUUUAUUAUGAUAUCAAAGUUAAAUUUAUGAUGAAUGACUAACUGGACAAAACUGAGAGCAACCACCACAGAGGUGAAUAUACUGAAUGUAUAACACUCUCUAAUAAUUUUAAGAACUCCGCUCUAAUGAGCAGAUAUCACAGAAAGAGACUUUUCAGAUGAAAUACCGAUGACCAGGAAAUCUGUGAGACCAUUUUAAAAAAUUCGAAGUCAUUGAAGAAAUGCAAAGCUUCCAGGCUCCACUUUUCACUGAUGAAAUUGGCAGAGUUUGGGACAAUGAGAUGUUGCUGUCCCGGGAGUGCGGAUGGGGCUGUGUCCUGUGAUGGCGGUGGGCACUGGCACUCUUGUCCAGAAAGACAUUCACCACUGUGGUUCAAGAAGCACCUCAAAGGUCUUCACCUUGGUCCCUUGUCCACCUCUGCCCGCGGUCUCUCCUCCUUUCAGCCUCCUCUUUCCCACACAGUCCCUCCCGCCCUGGCUUGGUCCCCUUUCUUCUGACUGGGUCAGGCAUGUGGGUGACUCUUUGACUUCCAAGGCUCUGUCUACUUGGCUUUUUUCUUUCACCUGUUCUGCAGAAUAACAGCCUGAUUCGUUCCUCUUUUUGGGUCCUUCACUUCCAUACCUGGGAUUCGGGGCGUGGCCCAGAAAGACCCUGCAGUCUUGCAGUGUGGGGCUGCCAGCAUUUCAUGGCCUCCAAGCUCAGCUGGGCUGAAUGAACGCUGCCAUCCAGCGCUUGGCUCAUUUUCUGUCCCAUUUUCCUGAGUGCUUUUGCCAGACUUACACUUUUCUGAAAGCUACUCCACCCUACCCCAGACACACCCUCUCUCCUCGGAUGACCUGCCUCCUAAUUUCCUGAGAAAACUGGACAUGGCCACCUUUCCCCAGUGUCUGAGGCCCAGGUUGACCCGUGGUCAUGGUCGCUGUCACCACCCACCUGCCUGUAUGACAGAGUGAGACCCUGUCUCAAAAAAAAAUAAAAAGAAUGCCUCAUGUUAGGCUGGGUGUAGUGGCUUAUGCCUGCAAUCCCAGCACUUUGGGAGGCUGAGGCAGGAGGAUAGUUUGAGCCCAGGAGUUCAAGGUCAACCUGGGCAAGAGAGGGAGACCCUGUCUCUACAGUUAAUUUUUAAAAAUUAAGGCAGGGCAUGAUGGCUCGUGCACGUAAUCCCAGCACUUUGGGAGGCUGAGUCAGGACGAUUGCAUGAGCCCAGGAAUUCAAGACCAGCCUGGGCAAUGUAGAGAGACCUCCAUCUCUACAAAGAAUUUUUAAAAAUUAAGGCAAGGUAUGGUGGCUGAUGCCUGUAAUCCCAGCACUUCGGGAGGAUGAGGUAGGAGGAUAGAUUCAGCCCAGGAGUUGGAGGCUGCAGUGAGCCAUAAUCACACCACUGCACUCCAGCAUGGGCAACAGCGUAAGACCCUAUCUGAAAAUACAUAAAUAAAAGAAAAAGUUAGCUAG
ensembl:lncRNA LINC02175 long intergenic non-protein coding RNA 2175